rnacentral:rRNA from 1 species
CAAUAAGCGGAGGAAAAGAAACCAACAGGGAUUGCCCUAGUAACGGCGAGUGAAGCGGCAACAGCUCAAAUUUGAAAUCUGGCUUCGGCCCGAGUUGUAAUUUGUAGAGGAAGCUUCUGGCGCGGUGCCAUCCGAGUCCCCUGGAACGGGGCGCCAUAGAGGGUGAGAGCCCCGUAUGGAUGGAUGCCUAGCCUGUGUGAAGCUCCUUCGACGAGUCGAGUAGUUUGGGAAUGCUGCUCAAAAUGGGAGGUAAAUUCCUUCUAAAGCUAAAUAUUGGCCAGAGACCGAUAGCGCACAAGUAGAGUGAUCGAAAGAUGAAAAGCACUUUGAAAAGAGGGUUAAACAGCACGUGAAAUUGUUGAAAGGGAAGCGCUUGUGACCAGACUUGCGCCAGGCUGAUCAUCCGGUGUUCUCACCGGUGCACUCUGCCUGGCACAGGCCAGCAUCAGUUUUGGUGGGGGGAUAAAGGGCGCAGGAACGUAGCUCCUCCGGGAGUGUUAUAGCCUGUGUCGUAAUGCCCUCGCCGGGACUGAGGACCGCGCAUCUGCAAGGAUGCUGGCGUAAUGGUCAUCAGCGACCCGUCUUGAAACACGGACCAAGGAGUCAAGGUUUUGCGCGAGUGUUUGGGUGUAAAACCCGCACGCGUAAUGAAAGUGAACGUAGGUGAGAGCUUCGGCGCAUCAUCGACCGAUCCUGAUGUAUUCGGAUGGAUUUGAGUAAGAGCGUUAAGCCUUGGACCCGAAAGAUGGUGAACUAUGCUUGGAUAGGGUGAAGCCAGAGGAAACUCUGGUGGAGGCUCGCAGCGGUUCUGACGUGCAAAUCGAUCGUCAAAUCUGAGCAUGGGGGCGAAAGACUAAUCGA